GUAGGGAAUAUUGCCUAAUGUGCGAAAGCGCGAGGCAGCAACGCCGCGUGUGCGAUGAAGGCCUUCGGGUCGUAAAGCACUUUUGGAGGGGAUGAGGAAGGACAGUACCCUCUGAAUAAGCCUCGGCUAACUACGUGCCAGCAGCCGCGGUAACACGUAGGAGGCGAGCGUUAUCCGGAUUUACUGGGCGUAAAGCGCGUGCAGGCGGUUCGGUAAGUUGGAUGUGAAAGCUCCUGGCUUAACUGGGAGAGGUCGUUCAAUACUACCGGACUUGAGGAUGGGAGAGGGAGGUGGAAUUCCGGGUGUAGUGGUGAAAUGCGUAGAUAUCCGGAGGAACACCAGUGGCGAAAGCGGCCUCCUGGCCCAUUUCUGACGCUCAGACGCGAAAGCUAGGGGAGCGAACGGGAUUAGAAACCCGGGUAGUCC
rnacentral:rRNA from 1 species